rnacentral:lncRNA from 1 species
AGAAUGAGUUCUGGCUGACUUAAUGGCUUGUAUAAGGAGUCAACGAUGUCACGCAUAUAAAAAGCCUGUCACAAAGAAGGGUAAUUCGCUGGUCAUAUGCCAGUCACAGAGUGACAGCGGCACUGACACCGAUUUUGGUUUCCAUCGACAUAAAAUUAACUUUUCACAGAAGUGUUUUACUGUUAAAGACUCACUGAUGAUGGCCAGGGGAUUCCUGCACUUGAUCUCUUCCAGAACGAUGGCAGCUCUGACACCGUGUGAGAGCCUUUCACAACUGACACCAGGAGGAAUGCUUCCCAAAGUCAACUAGAAGCCUACUACACCUGCUAGGACCCUGUCUUUUGUGGCUCGUGACCUUAUCUGUCCUUCACAUGGUACAGUGGACCCUUGACUUACGAACUCUUUCGAUUCCUGCAGCCUGGUUGUAACUAAGUCAAUACAGCUGAGAUCUGGAUGUUUACCUGGGCACACUCUAUAGAUAACAAGAGGCAGAUGAAUCACCC